rnacentral:rRNA from 1 species
AGGCAGCAGUGGGGGAAUCUUGCGCAAUGGGCGAAAGCCUGACGCAGCGACGCCGCGUGCGGGAUGACGGCCUUCGGGUUGUAAACCGCUUUCAGCAGGGACGAGGCCGCAAGGUGACGGUACCUGCAGAAGAAGCCCCGGCUAACUACGUGCC